GAAUAGAGAGUUAAAUAGUACGUGAAACUGCUUAGAGGUUAAGCCCGAUGAACCUGAAUAUCCAUUAUGAAAAAUUCAUCAUUAAAUAAUUAAAAAUAAUGUGCAUUUUUUUCAUAUAAGGACAUUGUAAUCUAUUAACAUAAUAAAGUAUUUAUCAAAAGAUCAUUGGUGAUAUUAAGUUUAUUUAAAUUAAUUUGCUUUUUAAGCAUAUUAACAUAGAAUAAAUACUAAUGAUUUGAUAAAGUGUUGAUAGAUUUUAUUAUAUAUAAUGCUAAAAUUCAUUUUUUGAAUUUUACAAAAAAUUUAAUAUCUAUGAUAUUAAUAUUUAUUUGUAUGCAUUUAUAUGAUUAACAAUGCGAAAGAUUCAGGAUACCUUCGGGACCCGUCUUGAAACACGGACCAAGGAGUCUAACAUAUGUGCAAGUCAUUGAGUUAUAUUAAACUUAAUGGCAUAAUUAACUUAACUUAAAAAUAUAAUGGGAUUAAUUUUUAGUCUAUUUUCUUAAAUAGUCAAUUAAUUCAAUCCCGGGGCGUUCCAUAUAGUUAUGUAUAAUGAUAAUUUAUUAUUAUUUAUACCUCUAACUGGAGCGUACCUUGAGCAUAUAUGCUGUGACCCGAAAGAUGGUGAACUAUACUUGAUCAGGUUGAAGUCAGGGGAAACCCUGAUGGAAGACCGAAACAGUUCUGACGUGCAAAUCGAUUGUCAGAAUUGAGUAUAGGGGCGAAAGACCAAUCGAACCAUCUAGUAGCUGGUUCCCUCCGAAGUUUCCCUCAGGAUAGCUGGUGCAUUUAAAAAUUAUAUAAAAUAAUCUUAUCUGGUAAAGCGAAUGAUUAGAGGCCUUAGGGUCGAAACGAUUUUAACCUAUUCUCAAACUUUAAAUGGGUAAGAACCUCACCUUUCUUGAUAUGAAGGUUGAGGUUAUGAUAUAAUGUGCCCAGUGGGCCACUUUUGGUAAGCAGAACUGGCGCUGUGGGAUGAACCAAACGUAAUGUUACGGUGCCUAAAUUAACAACUCAUGCAGAUACCAUGAAAGGCGUUGGUUGCUUAAAACAGCAGGACGGUGGACAUGGAAGUCGUAAUCCGCUAAGGAGUGUGUAACAACUCACCUGCCGAAGCAACUAGCCCUUAAAAUGGAUGGCGCUUAAGUUGUAUACCUAUACAUUACCGCUAAAGUAGAUGAUUUAUAAAACAAUUUCGAUUGAUUUAUAAAUUUUGAAACUUUAGUGAGUAGGAGGGUACAAUAGUGUGCUUAGAAGUGUUUGGCGUAAGCCUGCAUGGAGCCGCUAUUGGUACAGAUCUUGGUGGUAGUAGCAAAUAAUCGAAUGAGACCUUGGAGGACUGAAGUGGAGAAGGGUUUCGUGUGAACAGUGGUUGAUCACGAGUUAGUCGGUCCUAAGUUCAAGGCGAAAGCCGAAAAUUUUCAAGUUUUUAAUAAAAAAAUAUUAAUAAAAUUUAUAUAUAUAUAUUAAAAAAUAAUUAAAUACUUGAAUUAUUUUGAACGAAAGGGAAUACGGUUCCAAUUCCGUAACCUGUUGAGUAUCCGUUUGUUAUUAAAAAUGGGCCUUGUGCUCAUCCUGGCAACAGGAACGACCAUAAAGAAGCCGUCGAGAGAUAUCGGAAGAGUUUUCUUUUCUGUUUUAUAGUCGUACUACCAUGGAAGUCUUUCGAAGAGAGAUAUGGUAGAUGGACUAGAAGAGCAUGACAUUUACUGUUGUGUCGAUAUUUUCUCCUCGGACCUUGAAAAUUUAUGGUGGGGUCACGCAAACUUCUCAACAGGCCGUACCAAUAUCCGCAGCUGGUCUCCAAGGUGAAGAGUCUCUAGUCGAUAGAAUAAUGUAGGUAAGGGAAGUCGGCAAAUUAGAUCCGUAACUUCGGGAUAAGGAUUGGCUCUGAAGAUUGAGAUAGUCGGGCUUGAUUGGGAAGCAAUACCAUGGUUUAUGUACUCGUUCUGGGUAAAUAGAGAAUUACGAUUCUUGUUCCCCGGAUAGUAGUUACGUAGCCAAUUGUGGAACUUUCUUGCUAAAAUUUUUAAGGAAUUAUAUCAUUCGAUAUAUAUUCUUUUUAAAUUAUAACGAUUAUCAAUUAACAAUCAAUUCAGAACUGGCACGGACUUGGGGAAUCCGACUGUCUAAUUAAAACAAAGCAUUGUGAUGGCCCUAACGGGUGUUGACACAAUGUGAUUUCUGCCCAGUGCUCUGAAUGUCAAAGUGAAGAAAUUCAAGUAAGCGCGGGUAAACGGCGGGAGUAACUAUGACUCUCUUAAGGUAGCCAAAUGCCUCGUCAUCUAAUUAGUGACGCGCAUGAAUGGAUUAACGAGAUUCCUACUGUCCCUAUCUACUCCCCCCAGCGGUGCAGGGGUUAGAAUAUGCCCGAGGUAAGGUAUGCCUGUCGUAAAAGGCGACUAAAAUCUAGGUUUGCCAGUGCCUGAGUAGUAUGGAUGCUCAACUGGCAGAGUCUUCGGGUUCGAUGUCUUACCGGAGACCUUAACUCGGUACCACG